rnacentral:rRNA from 1 species
CCUACGGGUGGCAGCAGUGAGGAAUAUUGGUCAAUGGGCGCGAGCCUGAACCAGCCAAGUAGCGUGAAGGAUGACUGCCCUACGGGUUGUAACCUUCUUUUAUAAAGGAAUAAAGUGAGGCAUGUGUGCCUUUUUGUAUGUCCAUUAUGAUUAAGGCUCGGCUAACUCUGUGCCAGCGGCAGCGGUAAUACGGAGGAGCCGAGCGUUAUCCGGAUUUAUUGGGUUUAAAGGUUGCGUAGGCGGAUAGUUAAGUCAGUGGUCAAAUUGAGAGGCUAAACACCUUCCCGCCAUUGAAACUGGGGCUCUUGAGUGUAAGAGAAGUAGGCGGAAUGCGUGGUGUAGCGGUGAAAUGCAUAGAUAGCACGCAGAAUCCCGAUUGCGAAGGCAGCAUGCCGGCUUCCGACUGACGCUGAAGCACGAAAGCGUGGGGAUCGAACAGGAUUAGAUACCCGUGUAGUC